GACGAACGCUGGCGACGUGCUUAACACAUGCAAGUCGAACGGUGAAGCGCCUUCCUUUUUGGUGGGUGUGGAUGAGUGGCGAACGGGUGAGUAACACGUGAGUAACCUGCCCCCUUCUUCUGGAUAACCGCAUGAAAGUGUGGCUAAUACGGGAUAUUCUGGGUCUGUCGCAUGAUGGGUCUGGGAAAGAUAUUGUUUCGGUGGGGGAUGGGCUCGCGGCCUAUCAGCUUGUUGGUGGGGUGAUGGCCUACCAAGGCGGUGACGGGUAGCCGGCCUGAGAGGUUGGACGGUCACACUGGGACUGAGACACGGCCCAGACUCCUACGGGAGGCAGCAGUGGGGAAUAUUGCAAGAUGGGAGCAAGCCUGAUGCAGCGACGCCGCGUGAGGGAUGGAGGCCUUCGGGUUGUGAACCUCUUUCGCCAGUGAAGCAGGCCUGCCUCGUUUGUGGGUGGGUUGACGGUAGCUGGAUAAGAAGCGCCGGCUAACUACGUG
rnacentral:rRNA from 1 species